UACGUAGGUGGCAAGCGUUGUCCGGAAUUAUUGGGCGUAAAGCGCGCGCAGGCGGUCCUUUAAGUCUGAUGUGAAAGCCCACGGCUCAACCGUGGAGGGUCAUUGGAAACUGGGGGACUUGAGUGCAGGAGAGAAGAGUGGAAUUCCACGUAUAGCGGUGAAAUGCGUAGAGAUGUGGAGGAACACCAGUGGCGAAGGCGGCAUCCUGGACCGACAUUGACGCUGAGGAGCGAAAGCUAGGGGAGCAAACGGG
rnacentral:rRNA from 1 species